rnacentral:lncRNA from 1 species
CUUUAAUUAGUUAUUCUUUUUAUUACAUUGUCAAAUCGCUUUUUUUAUUUAAAGAAAAUCCAAUUAAUGUAAAAUAUGUAAGGAACUAUAACUUUUUUCUAUGGAUUCACAAUUUGUUUUAAUCCGCCGUUAUCGACAUCUUGACAACGCCUAUUGUUGUAUGACGUCAGAGAGUGAAGUAACCAUGUUUAUUUCACAUGUGAAAUUAUCGGUUUUUAUUUAACUGGGAAAUCAAUGUAAUUCAUUGCAACCAAUGUAAUAAAUGUAUAAACACCUCUUCUGUUAUAGGUAAGUAGCAGCCUGGAUAUUCUCGAUGACAUCCAUAAAGUUAUAUGUUAGGGUGG